CCUGUGCCGGUGCUCUGUUACCUGCACAGCACAGUCCCUGGUGUUCAGAGGGAACCUCCUGCGUUCCUGUUUGUGCCCAGUGCCUCCUGUCCUGGUAUCAAGCACUACUGACAAGAGCCUGGUUCCAUCUCUGCACGCUCCCUUCAGGUGUUUAUGAACACUGAUGAGAUCCCCUGAGCCUCCUUUUCUCCAGGCUGAGCAACCAGCUCUCUCAGCCUCUCCUCACACGAGAGAGAGGUGCUCCUGUCCUUUGUCAUCUUGGCCCUGAGUUGGACUCUCCCCGCUACAUCCAAGUCUCUCAGGCUGAAAGGGCCUAGAAUUGGACCCAGCUCUCCAGUGGCAGCCUCACAGCAGAGGGGAAGGGUGAUUUCCCUUGACGUCCUGCUGAUGCUUUGCUCGUGCAGCGCCGGUCAUCGUCAUCCUCCUGUGCAGCAGGGGCACCUGACUGGCUCUCUUUCAUAUCAUUUAUCAGACACAAGUAGGAAAGGAAACGUACCAGGCUUAUAAUUUCUCAAGGAAGAUUGGACCACAGGCUUACUUAACCUUCCUUUUUCCUUGUGUUUGACACCUACUAUGAUUUUAAAGCAAGGAUUUUGGUAUGUUUGUUUCUGCAUCUUGUCACUUCAGGUUCUUCAGCACAGGCAGGAACUCAACGCUUUUGGCUCCUGGGAUCUGAUUUUGUAACAGUUUCCUCCUUUGGCCACUUUCCAGAAAAUCACCUAGGAAACCCAAGUACCAGUUUCCAUGGUCACUUAGGAGAGAACAUGUUUCCUACUAUUGCAUAGUGUAUCGGUACCAGGAAACACACAAGCUUUUUGCCUGACCCAGGUGCAUAAAAAUUCAUGAGCAAGAAAGCAUUCACCUGUUGUUUGAUGUGAAAAGCACACUGGACCACAAAAGCAGUGAUAGCAGGUUAAACUGUUCCUGACUGCCACUGGGGGAUCAAAGGAUAAUCAUCUGGAUGGGGAGCCAGGUGAAUUCCUCUGAGAGGCAAAGAAAUGUUCCAGUGUGGUGUGCGAAGACCUGAAGUUCCUUCUCUUUAUUAUUGUAUGCACUGCAACUGAAGCAUCUUCUUAUCAGAUAUUGUAUUCAGUCUAGGAGGAAUAUAGCACAUCCUUCAAGUUUUUUCUUAGCUUGACCGUUUCCCUUCCAUCUCAAAACGAUUUUUCUACUGUAAAGUGCCAUACUCACAGAGUUCCUUACGGAAACAAGGUAACUAACCAUAGAGUCCAAGAUACUGAUGAACAUCACAAAAUGUACAUCACAAAAUGAUCGAGGACAUAUUGUGAUCCUGCAGAGUAUCAGAAAAUCUGUUUCAGAUUUUGCAGCAAUUUUCCAGAUCUGCUAUUUGAAGCCAAUGGGACUGCUUAGUGAACAGCAGCUCUACUCAUUGCAAUUGGAAAUGAAUGCCUCAAAGUAAGAAAUCUUCUUCCCCAUUCACAGGCAUAACCAGUCAUAAGUGAAUCUUUUACACCAAAUCAGUACAGCUCCUGCUUCCUCAUUUUUACUCUUCUUAACCUUCCAUUCUGAAGCAAAAUUGUUAGAGGAACAAUAGAUCCAAAGUCAAAUACCACAAGAACAUUUUCUAAUAAAUUUGAUGUUUUGGCAGUGGGAUGUGAGUAGAGCCAGGCCACUGCCAAAGCACAGAAGGCUAUGAACAGAUCUGAGCUAUCUUUCACAUUUUCCUGAAGCAUACAGAAACUAAGUUGUACAAUUCUGUGGCCAUUUCAAAAGCAAUUUAAAUCAUAGCUCUCAGGCAAUAGCAUUCAGAUUGUUUGGGGCAUGUUCCAUUCAUGCUGGAUAGCCCAUUAAACCAUGCUAAGUCUUACAGCACAGCAUCC
ensembl:lncRNA